rnacentral:rRNA from 1 species
AUUGUUCGCAAUGGGCGCAAGCCUGACGACGCAACGCCGCGUGGAGGAUGAAGGUCUUCGGAUUGUAAACUCCUGUUGACCGGGAAGAAUGGACCUUGAGCGAAUAGCUCGAGGCAAUGACGGUACCUGAGGAGGAAGCACCGGCUAACUACGUGCCAGCAGCCGCGGUAAUACGGAGGAGGCAAGCGUUAUCCGGAAUUAUUGGGCGUAAAGCGUCCGUAGGUGGUUUAGUAAGUCUGCUGUUAAAGCGCGGGGCUUAACUCCGUAUCGGCAGUGGAAACUACUAGACUAGAGUGUGGUAGGGGUAGAGGGAAUUCCCAGUGUAGCGGUGAAAUGCGUAGAUAUUGGGAAGAACACCGGUGGCGAAGGCACUCUACUGGGCCAUAACUGACACUGAUGGACGAAAGCUAGGGGAGCGAAA